AACGAACGCUGGCGGCGUGGAUAAGACAUGCAAGUCGAACGGGAACUUCAGCUGUAGCAAUACAGUUGAAGUUUUAGUGGCGAACGGGUGCGUAACACGUGGGCAAUCUGCCGAGAAGUGGGGGAUAGCUCGCCGAAAGGCGAAUUAAUACCGCAUAUGAUCAGCUAAGACAUCUUAGCGACAUCAAAGCCGGGGCAACCUGGCGCUUUUUGAGGAGCCCGCGGCCUAUCAGCUAGUUGGUGAGGUAACGGCUCACCAAGGCUAUGACGGGUAGCUGGUCUGAGAGGACGACCAGUCACACUGGAACUGAGACACGGUCCAGACACCUACGGGUGCAGCAGUCGAGAAUUUUUCNCAAUGGGGCAACCCUGAAGGAGCGACGCCGCGUGGAGGAUGAAGGCUUUCGGGUUGUAAACUCCUGUCAUUUGAGAACAAGGUGCAUCGGUUAACUGCCGGUGCAUUGAUAGUAU
rnacentral:rRNA from 1 species